UUGGAUCAUGAAGCCCAGGCUGAAGGGAACCAGUAGGGUUCGUUUGCUCCCAACAGCAAUAGUCGUCCCUUUGCAGCGCCGGUAGUUGUUCCUGAGCAGGCCAUCGAUGAGGUUAUCUUGCAUGACGAAAGGGAGACUUCAGUGCUCCAGAGUACACCAAGUUUAAAGGAGGUAGUUAGAGGAGAAGAGGUAGUCGAAGUUGGCAAUCUAGAUUCCGAAAAACACACAACUGUGGUUUUCUUUGAAAAUAAAGAACCCCUUUCCAUGAACACUCUCUUGGAUCAGAAGGGAUUUCUUGAUUCGAGCAAAGAAAUGAAGUUCAGGAGCAGAUCGAAUAAGCAGAAUAAAAGAUUUCAUGGGACAAAUGUAAGGUUCAAAAACGCUAGCUCCCCUCGUGUCUUUUUUAAAAAAUCUAUAGAGAAUCUUGCUGAGAGUAUAUCAAGUAUCUCAAAAGAAAAUUUUGGUACUGGUUUAUUUUCCAGAAACGAUGAGAAGAUGAAGGGGUGUAUAAUCCCUAAACAGUAUGACUAUUGAAGGUUUUUGGUUUGUCCCUCUUGAUUUUUUAUUUAUGUGGGUUUUGCUUUUUGGGCUUUUAUUAUUUUUAUAUUCUUAUUAUAUUAUUUUGAUGAUGCCUAAUUUAAAAAUUUUCUCGUGGAAUUGUCAAGGGUUGCUAGUAGAAGUUUUAUUAGAGCAUUUCGUGAAUAUAAUUCGAAAUAUAGUCUAGAUAUUGUUUGCCUAGUUGAACCAAGAGUAAACAAUAAAAAAUCCAAUUUUAUUAUUGAGUAAUUGGGCUUUAAUUUUUCUCAUCGGGUUGAAGCCGUUGGAUUUUCAGGUGGCAUCUGGGUAGGAUGGAAAAAUUCUCUUUAUAUUCAAAUCAUUAGUAGUCACUCUCAAUUCAUUUUUCUUCGUGUUGAUAAUUUAAUUUUCAAUAAGUCUUUUCCAAUCUCUUUUGUUUAUGGUAGCCUUGACAGGAUGAAACGCAAGCUUCUUUGGGAAGGGUUAAAAUCUGCCUCCUUAGCCCAAUCCAUUCAUUGGCUUAUCAUGGGAGAUUUUAAUGCUAUCAUAUCUUCUAAGGACAAGAGAAGUCCCUCUAAUCCUAGAAAAU
rnacentral:lncRNA from 1 species